AGAGUGAACGCUGGCGGUAGGCCUAACACAUGCAAGUCGAACGGCAGCACAGUGGUAGCAAUACCAUGGGUGGCGAGUGGCGGACGGGUGAGGAAUACAUCGGAAUCUACCUUUUCGUGGGGGAUAACGUAGGGAAACUUACGCUAAUACCGCAUACGCCCUUCGGGGGAAAGCCGGGGAUCGCGAAGACCUGGCGCGGAUAGAUGAGCCGAUGUCGGAUUAGCUAGUUGGUGAGGUAAUGGCUCACCAAGGCGACGAUCCGUAGCGUGGUCUGAGAGGAUGAUCAGCCACACUGGAACUGACGACGACGGUCCAAGCCUACCGUACGGGAGGCGAGCAGGUUGGGAAUAGUUGGACAAGUGGGACGCGAAGGCCUGGACUCCGACGCCAACGUACCGGCGU
rnacentral:rRNA from 1 species